rnacentral:lncRNA from 1 species
UGAAAUAGCCCGUCCUGAGGCACGGUGCACUUGUCCUUCCUCUCCUCUCCCAGGAUUCUGGAACAGUCUACAGCUGCCCGCACAGCCCUGGUCUUCCCCCAGGUGUCCGGAAGCCUGUGCCUGAGCAUCUCUUGGAAACAACUAUCUUCAUUGGCAGCCCCGUCUUCAAACAGUCGGCCUACGAGAAUGCUCACUCAGAGUCCACUGCUAUUUCUAGAUGAGAAAGCGCGGCCCCGGGGACUGAGCAGAAAGAAAGCCGUCAUAGCACGUCUGUGAGCGCCAACUGCGGCCGUGCUGCCUGGAUUCUGAGCCGGCUCUGUCGUGUGCUGGCCACGUGGCCCUGAUCUUAACCCUUCGGAACCUCCGUUUCCUCAUCUGUCGACAGCCAAGUUCUGACUGAUGAAAAACAGAAUCUCAUCAUGCCUGGGACUGCAGUCUGGCUGGUCAUUCGUGUUUCUGGUGAGUGAGCGAUGGGGCUGUCUCUGCCUCGGGCCUCAGCCUCCUGCCCCCAAGCCUGCUGAGCCUGCUUCUGGAAGAGGGGCCUCACCAGCCCGGUGUGGUACAGACAGCAUCCACCGUGUCAGGACUCGGGUUUUCCAGAGCCCCUGCAUCAGAAUAGCCUGGAACACUGCUUGUUAAAAGGGUAGGUCUGGGCCCCGC